GGAAGGUGAGAGUGCAGGGGAGGAGCAGGAGCUGUCAGCCCUUCCUCAACUAUGUACCUUAGAGGAUGAGGCUCAACAUGGAGUAACAUCCGGAUCUUGUAUGGUAACUCUAGUUCCUCUAAUUAAUUAAGCAUCAGUUCUUGCCUACGUUUGUUCAUAGGUUCCUCAUUCACUAUUUAGUAGUUUAUCCUACUUUGAGUGAGUGCCUUAUUUCUGCACUCAAGUAAGGUAGUAAUCCAUAGUGUGGACGUGGUGUGUGGAUUAGAGAUUACCUCGGUUUGCACCCAGUUCAACGGAGUAGCCAGCAGGUGGUGAUAGCCCUGUCCGAACUACAUAGUCCACCACAUUAGUAGGACUUAGGAGUAAACGAUGCCACUCCCCUUCUCAUUCCAUUCCAUGAGUGGUGGUUUCUCGGGCGCCCGAAGUGAACCUACAUGAAUAAGACUAAUCAACUUGAUUAAUCAGAAUAGUCAGUGUUACUACACAAGUACCCUCUCUACCCUCUUGCUUCUUUAUCUCCUCUUUCUUCAUCGUUACCCUUAUGAACCAUCCGGAUGAAGUAGUUUAGGAUUAUAGCACUUCACGUUCCCUGUGGAAAUCGAUACUC
rnacentral:lncRNA from 1 species